ACGAACGCUGGCGGCGUGCCUAAUACAUGCAAGUCGAACGCUUCUUUUUCCACCGGAGCUUGCUCCACCGGAAAAAGAGGAGUGGCGAACGGGUGAGUAACACGUGGGUAACCUGCCCAUCAGAAGGGGAUAACACUUGGAAACAGGUGCUAAUACCGUAUAACAAUCGAAACCGCAUGGUUUUGAUUUGAAAGGCGCUUUCGGGUGUCGCUGAUGGAUGGACCCGCGGUGCAUUAGCUAGUUGGUGAGGUAACGGCUCACCAAGGCGACGAUGCAUAGCCGACCUGAGAGGGUGAUCGGCCACAUUGGGACUGAGACACGGCCCAAACUCCUACGGGAGGCAGCAGUAGGGAAUCUUCGGCAAUGGACGAAAGUCUGACCGAGCAACGCCGCGUGAGUGAAGAAGGUUUUCGGAUCGUAAAACUCUGUUGUUAGAGAAGAACAAGGAUGAGAGUAACUGUUCAUCCCUUGACGGUAUCUAACCAGAAAGCCACGGCUAACUACGUGCCAGCAGCCGCGGUAAUACGUAGGUGGCAAGCGUUGUCCGGAUUUAUUGGGCGUAAAGCGAGCGCAGGCGGUUUCUUAAGUCUGAUGUGAAAGCCCCCGGCUCAACCGGGGAGGGUCAUUGGAAACUGGGAGACUUGAGUGCAGAAGAGGAGAGUGGAAUUCCAUGUGUAGCGGUGAAAUGCGUAGAUAUAUGGAGGAACACCAGUGGCGAAGGCGGCCUACUGGGCACCAACUGACGCUGAGGCUCGAAAGUGUGGGUAGCAAACAGGAUUAGAUACCCUGGUAGUCCACGCCGUAAACGAUGAGUGCUAAGUGUUGGAGGGUUUCCGCCCUUCAGUGCUGCAGCUAACGCAUUAAGCACUCCGCCUGGGGAGUACGACCGCAAGGUUGAAACUCAAAGGAAUUGACGGGGGCCCGCACAAGCGGUGGAGCAUGUGGUUUAAUUCGAAGCAACGCGAAGAACCUUACCAGGUCUUGACAUCCUUUGACCACUCUAGAGAUAGAGCUUCCCCUUCGGGGGCAAAGUGACAGGUGGUGCAUGGUUGUCGUCAGCUCGUGUCGUGAGAUGUUGGGUUAAGUCCCGCAACGAGCGCAACCCUUAUUGUUAGUUGCCAUCAUUUAGUUGGGCACUCUAGCAAGACUGCCGGUGACAAACCGGAGGAAGGUGGGGAUGACGUCAAAUCAUCAUGCCCCUUAUGACCUGGGCUACACACGUGCUACAAUGGGAAGUACAACGAGUCGCAAAGUCGCGAGGCUAAGCUAAUCUCUUAAAGCUUCUCUCAGUUCGGAUUGUAGGCUGCAACUCGCCUACAUGAAGCCGGAAUCGCUAGUAAUCGCGGAUCAGCACGCCGCGGUGAAUACGUUCCCGGGCCUUGUACACACCGCCCGUCACACCAUGAGAGCCGGGGGGACCCGAAGUCGGUAGUCUAACCGCAAGGAGGACGCCGCCGAAGGUAAAACUGGUGAUUGGGGUG
rnacentral:rRNA from 1 species